rnacentral:lncRNA from 1 species
UGACACCACCAGGAGCUGACUCACACCUGAACUGAACACCAUUGAAGGCUUAAACCCAUAUUGUAAAACAGCAUCAACAGCAGACCGGCAAUUGCGCUUUUGAUCUAAAGGAAAGAUGAAAGCCUGGAUCCUGCAAUACACUGAGAUUAUAGAAAACUGCAAAGCAAACCAAAUCCAGGUUGCUCUAACUUAAAUUCCGCAAUGCUAGUCAGGCAGAUUGCUCCAACCUGAGAGCUGUGAGUUCAGGUGGGGAGGUUCACAUUCACUGUGAUUAACUAGCUAGCUCCUUUCUCUGUCACAAUUACCUGGAAUACCCAAGGCAGACUAUGACAAGGGUCAGGUGACACACGUUAAUAUCCACUUGCUGGCAACAUGUGCCUGCACUGACUCCAGGAACCGUCUGUUGAAUGAACGCUAAAUCCCAGAGCUUCCCAGUGUGCCUCAGCGUGAGCAAGAGGAAAAACGUGAGAAAGGUAACUCACCUCUUUCUGCAAGAGAUUCCAUUCUGUUUCACUAACUAAACGAUAACCACUAGGGGACACAUAGGCACUCUCCAUGCCCUGGGUAACGCUGGAGAGGAGGGACGCUGUCUCUUCUUGUUCUGGUGUCAUCGCCUUGAUUGCUCUUUCCUGAUCUUUGGUUAACAUAAACCCACUUGGCAUCUGGAGUGACCCAAGGGAUGCAGUAUCAAAGUUCUCAGACACUGAAUCUGCUCCUACCAGUGGUCCAAAAUCUGACUCGUCCAGGUUUCCAGCAGAUUUUGCUUUGUAGUUAUAGCCUAAAGCUUUGGAUUGCAAUGAGCCCGAGGUUCCCAAGCUGUCUGUAGACUGUGCUCUCCUGAGUCCAUCUUUAAACAUGUCAUUGUCCGAUUUACUGAAAGGAUCUCCAGAUGGCAACAGCAAGCCUGCAUCUAAGGAAUGAACUGAGCCACGGGUGCUGUCUAAAUGCUCCUGAAAUGUGAAAAUACAUAUGGCCAAGUUAGACAAUUCUCUGCGUUUUUAAAGACAAAAACUAUAAUAAAUGUAUUCCGCCACUCAUUACACAUGAUAAUCAUUAAUGUGCUACCUUCACAGACUCAUUGAACAAACACUAAGUGUCAUUUCUACAUGCUGGACACAAAACCAGGCCCUCAGGAUACAACUGUGAGCAAGAUAUAAUCCCUGACCUCGAGAUACAUACGGCUUCAAAAAAAAAA